rnacentral:rRNA from 1 species
UACAGAGGUCUCAAGCGUUGUUCGGAUUCAUUGGGCGUAAAGAGCUCGUAGGCGGUUCGGCAAGUCAGCUGUGAAAUCUCCACGCUCAACGUGGAGGGGUCAGCUGAUACUGCUGUGACUUGAGUCCGGUAGGGGAGUGUGGAAUUUCCGGUGUAGCGGUGAAAUGCGUAGAUAUCGGAAGGAACACCAGUGGCGAAAGCGGCUUCCUGGUCCAGCACCGACGUUCAGGCACGAAAGCGUGGGGAGCAAACAGG